rnacentral:rRNA from 1 species
UUUAACGGCCGCGGUACUCUGACCGUGCGAAGGUAGCAUAAUCACUUGUUCUUUAAUUGAGGACUCGUAUCAACGGCAUCACGAGGGCCACACUGUCUCCUUUUUCCAAUCAGUGAAACUGAUCUCCCCGUGAAGAAGCGGGGAUAAUCCUAUAAGACGAGAAGACCCCAUGGAGCUUUAAACCCAAUAGCAACUCUGAAUGACUAAACCACAAAAAUUAGUUGAGCCCUGUAAUUAUUGGUUUUAGGUUGGGGUGACCGCGGAGCAUAGACAAACCUCCACGACGAACGGGACUAAACCCUAAUCCAAGAACUACCGUUCUAAGAAUCAAUACACUGACCUCUAAUGAUCCGACCACUCGAUCAACGAACCAAGUUACCCUGGGGAUAACAGCGCUAUCCAUUUCAAGAGCUCCUAUCGACAAAUGGGUUUACGACCUCGAUGUUGGAUCAGGGUAUCCUAGUGGUGCAGCCGCUACUAAAGGUUUGUUUGUUCAACAAUUAAAACCCUAC